UAGCGGCGGACGGGUGAGUAAUGCUUAGGAAUCUGCCUAUUAGUGGGGGACAACAUCUCGAAAGGGAUGCUAAUACCGCAUACGUCCUACGGGAGAAAGCAGGGGAUCUUCGGACCUUGCGCUAAUAGAUGAGCCUAAGUCGGAUUAGCUAGUUGGUGGGGUAAAGGCCUACCAAGGCGACGAUCUGUAGCGGGUCUGAGAGGAUGAUCCGCCACACUGGGACUGAGACACGGCCCAGACUCCUACGGGAGGCAGCAGUGGGGAAUAUUGGACAAUGGGCGCAAGCCUGAUCCAGCCAUGCCGCGUGUGUGAAGAAGGCCUUAUGGUUGUAAAGCACUUUAAGCGAGGAGGAGGCUACUUUAGAUAAUACCUAGAGAUAGUGGACGUUACUCGCAGAAUAAGCACCGGCUAACUCUGUGCCAGCAGCCGCGGUAAUACAGAGGGUGCAAGCGUUAAUCGGAUUUACUGGGCGUAAAGCGCGCGUAGGCGGCUAAUUAAGUCAAAUGUGAAAUCCCCGAGCUUAACUUGGGAAUUGCAUUCGAUACUGGUUAGCUAGAGUGUGGGAGAGGAUGGUAGAAUUCCAGGUGUAGCGGUGAAAUGCGUAGAGAUCUGGAGGAAUACCGAUGGCGAAGGCAGCCAUCUGGCCUAACACUGACGCUGAGGUGCGAAAGCAUGGGGAGCAAACAGGAUUAGAUACCCUGGUAGUCCAUGCCGUAAACGAUGUCUACUAGCCGUUGGGGCCUUUGAGGCUUUAGUGGCGCAGCUAACGCGAUAAGUAGACCGCCUGGGGAGUACGGUCGCAAGACUAAAACUCAAAUGAAUUGACGGGGGCCCGCACAAGCGGUGGAGCAUGUGGUUUAAUUCGAUGCAACGCGAAGAACCUUACCUGGCCUUGACAUAGUAAGAACUUUCCAGAGAUGGAUUGGUGCCUUCGGGAACUUACAUACAGGUGCUGCAUGGCUGUCGUCAGCUCGUGUCGUGAGAUGUUGGGUUAAGUCCCGCAACGAGCGCAACCCUUUUCCUUAUUUGCCAGCGAGUAAUGUCGGGAACUUUAAGGAUACUGCCAGUGACAAACUGGAGGAAGGCGGGGACGACGUCAAGUCAUCAUGGCCCUUACGGCCCAGGGCUACAUCACCGUGCUACAACUGGUCGGU
rnacentral:rRNA from 1 species